UGUGUCUUCAAUUUAUUUGAGUAGUUUGCGAGCUACUAAGCUAGCUGCGCUGUUCAGUCUCACCCAAUACAAGAAAAGAAGAAAGGUAGAACACUCUGGCUGGCUUGCCAGCUUCUAGAUCGCUCGGAAUUCAAUAUUGUGGCAAAAUUAUUUCGCGACAUUUUAGUGUGAUCCUUCUAGAUAAGUUCAAGACCAAUCUCACUCCAAGGCUCCGACAAAUUCCGGUUUGAUGUGAUUGUAUAUUAGUGUGUAUGCUAUACUUACAUAGCAUACACCAACUGGUAUUCGGCUCUACAGAGUGGAAUACCGGUUUUUUGUGUAUUGUAUUUAUUCUGGUUUACCAACAUGUUUAGGCGGAGUCGAAUACCACUUUUUGGUGUAUUGAAUUUAUUCUUAUGGUUCACGAACACGACUAAUUGGGCUUGUAUCUAUACUUGCAUAGCAUAUCGUCGCAUUCAAAUUGUUUGCUUCCAACAAGCGAUAUUGCUACACGCCAAGUCACCUUACUAAACAAACAUGCUACAGCUUCAUUAAACUAAAGCUCAAUGAUUAACUCCUAUAAAUCUUCAUAGAAGAAAUAUUGUUUAAUGAGUUGUUAGAUAAUUCUGGUUUUAAAAAACACCUGGGAUUUUUUUUUUACCGUGAGUGAUUGUUCGCCAAAAAUACACGAUCAGGAUCUCAAAGCCAUAAACUUAUCCGUUUAUGAGUAGAUGAUUUACAUGUUAGGCUGCCCUCCACGUAUUUUACCAUACGUUGCAUGGGUAACACCCAUUUUUUUGGAAAAAAGAGUGCAAGAUAUAUUGCGCAAUAGCGAAAUAAAAAUAUAUCCCAAUCCGGCAAGCAAUUUCGCCUUGACCACGCAUCAGUAUGAACGGCUUAAGUAAAAAAACAACCAAACGCAAAUGAUGCAUUUACGUACCGGAAUGAGUUAUUAGAUAAGGUUGAUCGGGCAAAAGAUGCAUUAAACGUGCGAGAAACGUCCAUAAGUGAGUUAUUAGAUAAGGUUGAUCGGGUAAGUUAUUUAUAGCCUAUUAAAAAUCUAUUCUUUGCUGGUGUUCGGUUGCGUCGUAAGAUUGCCAGAGGCACCAUCCGUAGGCGCGGUGUAACUCAAAGACACGUAGUUCGUAAAGUCUUUAAAAGUUACUCAAUCUUAAUACUUAACGACGAUUAAUACCUGAACUGUUAUAACAAAUCAAAUGAGUUUCAAGAUUAUCUCAGGAUUGAAAGAUUUAGAAUGUGGAAAAAUUUUAAACAAAAGGAAAUGUUAACGCAUCGACCCAAUUUAUGCCAAAAUACACCAAUCCCGCAUUUUCAACUAGUAAGUUAUCAGCAUUUUGAAUGUGAAGUAAGUCAGUGUAAAUUCAAUUCCUAUUUCGUAUCUAUUAGGUAUAAUCAGAUAAUAAAUUAUUUUUUGAUUAUUGUAUUAUUCCUAGUUGAUUGAGUGUCUCGGAUCGGGGUCGAGUGGAACAUUGGCACCUCACGAUCAUUGCAAAUGAAUAUUUUGCCAAGUACUUGAAUGAGUGUAAAAUCCUAUAGAACAUAAAAUACUAAAAAUAUAUAAAACUUUAGCUUUUCAAACAAAAACGUGCUAUCUACGCUUAACGGAGCAUAAUAAUGCUGAUGGUUUGAGAUUUAUUUAAAGCCCUGGUUACUAUACUUUUUCCGUUAUGAUUUCGCGAGAAAUUAAAGUGGCGCCACGGGAAUUUCGAGCUGUGAUUGGAUAGCACGAAGCGCGCACAAUGUUUUGCGUGAUCAGUGGCUAAGGCAAACAUGUGUUUCGUACAAAAAUAAAUGUUUGAUGAAAAUGUUUUGAACUAGUUCAAACAUCGGGAAAUGUUGUGUAAGCCAAUUGAGUGCCAUGUUUUGUGGGUGGCUAAAAUGUACGAGAAACACGCCAAACACGCCAAACAUGAUGUUUGACAAACGUGUUUGAGUGUUUAGCCAGGGCUAAAAGCAUUUUACGCCUCAAAAAUGCCUCAUAAGCUUUGCUGUUGGCACUUUCGUAUUAAAAUACAUAAUGCUUCAUCUACAACCAAGACCUUGUUAAAAACUUCAAAUUCGUUUCGAUGAAAAACAAUCUGACAUUCAUCUUUUCAACGCACAUACAUGCCUUACCACUGCAAGGCACAUUAAUCUGUAAACAUCCGAUAUAAAAUACAUACCCCUCCCCUUUAGACAUACUAAAAUAAUACAUUUCGAUUAGAUAUACACUUCUCUCCGACAGCAAAAUAUCCAAGGCUUUCAUUUGAUGGCUCAAAUUUUGUUGAUAACGUUUCGUGCACAAUGUGCGCGUUUUAGGUCAGGUUUCUACAUGAACGCACUUGAUUGCACAUACGGUAAAUUGACUGGCGAGCGAGAGCAACUACGUAAAGUAAGUCAGUGUAAACUCAAUUAUCAUUCCUAUUUCGUAUCUAUUAGGUAUGGGUAAUCAGAUAAUAAACUAUUUUUUAUUAUUGUAUUGAUGCCUAGUCGAGUGGUAUAAUUAAAAGUGGUUUUAAAAAUCCCCGUGCAACGAAAUGUAAUUGUUCAAUUUUAAUAGUCAAGCCAGAACAAAAGAGAACAAAGACAUUACAGUGUAUUAGUGCUGAAUAAACUAAAUAGUAUUUCACGGGUUUUUGAAAACCACUCUAUUGGCACCUCACGAUCACUACAAAUGAAUAUUUUGCCAAAUACUUAGAUAAGUGAAAAACCUAUAGAACAUAUUAAUACUAAAAUUACAGAAAACCUUAGCUAUUCAAACAAAAUAGCUGAUGGUUUGAGAUUUAUUUAAAAAAGCAUUUUGCGCCUCAAUAGUGUCACAAAGAACAAACAGGUUUUAAUUAGGUCAUACCGAUAAUUUCCUCAUUGCCACAUUAGCUUUGCUAUUGGCACUUUCGUUUUCCAAUACAUAAUGAUUAAUCUACAACCAAGACCUUGUUAAAAACUUAAAAUUCGUUUCGAUGAAAAACAAUCUGACAUUCAUAUUUUCAACGCACAAUUAAUACAUGCCUUACCACUGAAAGGCACAUUAAUCUGUAAACAUCCGAUUUAAAAUGCAUACCCCUCCCCUUUAAACAGACUAACAUAAUACAUUUCCAUUAGAUAUGCACUUCUCUUCGAAAACAAAAUAUCCAAGGCUUUCAUUUGAAGGCUCAAAUUUUGUUUAUAACCUUUCGUGCACAGAGUGUGCGUUUUAGGUCAGGUUUCUACAUGAACGCACUUGAUUGCACAUACGGUAAAUUGACUGGCGAGCGAGAGCAACUACGUGAACAAAAUUCAAGGCUAUGCGUGCACAGUACUCUUCCUUGCAGGAGUGUCUACGGAAGGAGGAAAAUCUAUAGCAAAUCAAUUCCAUUAUUAUGUCCACUACUGUAUAAAGUUCAUGCUCUAAAAUUCAUUCUCCUACAUGCUUAGAAAAGUAGUGCGGGUAUAACUUGCUUUACAGCUCUUCUUGCACUACGUUCGUAUGUAGUUUGGUACCCUGGUUCCAGAGGCUCCAAGUUUCACUACUUACAAGCCGCGAAGUGGCGACAACGAACGAGCGUAGGCGCUGUUUUCUUGUACGAGCCAUUAAACAGAGAGAAGGAACGAAGGAGACUUUGGAACCAGGGUUCGCAUGUAGUUUGGGUUUCUGCUACAAUCUUUCCAAGCUGUGCUUACCGGUUUAACAAGCUUUACAGCUCUUCUUGCAGUAAGUUCGCAUGUAGUUUGGGUUUCUGCUACACUCGUUACGGGCUGCCCAGUACUGGCACUGAUUGUUAUAGUCAUGGCAGUUAGCUCCUAUAACAUAUAUAACAUGUAACAUUAAAGAAACUGCUCUCUUCUGCUUUGUAUUAUAUUGUGCUUUAGCAUGAAAAAUGCCUAUCUGAUAAAGCUAAUCGUUCGAGCGUUAACAGUUCCGAAUACAGACAGUAUGAUAAAGGUCGGUGGUACGAGGGGUUGGGAUCUAGAGGAAAAGGAGGCCAGCUUGACCUAACACGAUAAGAAAGAAACGAGUGUGGGGACUAUGGCUUUAUACCCAGAGGUAAAUGUUUGUCUAAUUGGGCUUAGCGGCAUAACCAGGAUUUUUAACAGGUGGAGCCCCAAAAGGUCCUUUUAAGGCAUUUUCUCCUGUACCACCCACCCACCUGGCUACGCCCCUGGGGCUGGUUAAUUGGGUUAAACUAACCGUUUGGCUGACCAGAGCAGAAAUUACAGCUUUGUUUGCAAUAGAGCCUCAUGUAGGCAGUGUUCGUCUGACAGUAGCCUUGACUUGUCCAGUAUUUGCAGUACUGGUGGCCGUCAAAACACUCGCCUGAAAAAGAAGGAGAUUAUCAGUGGGAUCAGUAGUAGCAGACAGGGAAAGAAACCAGACUCAAAGACAAGAUGUGUCCAAUCAGCAAGAAGAGAAGCCAGUGGUUAUAUAUUUAUGACGGAUGCUAAUGAUAAUGGUUCUGAUAAAUGAUACAUGACGAUCGCUGUGAAUGUUGGUGAUGAUAAUGGUGACAUUGAAUGCUAAAGAUAA